rnacentral:lncRNA from 10 species
CUUCGCCCCGUCCCGUCCGCGCAGCGCGUCCGGCCCGCCCGCAGGCCAGCUUCUCUCGGGAGCCCCCACCCAGGCGCAUGGCUCCAUGAAGCAAGAGGAGGAGGCAGAGCGCGAGAGGUCCCGUCCGCCCCAGCCGCGUCUGGGCCAGGAUAAAAGCAAAACCAUAUUCCUGCUGCUGUCAGUUAUGAUGCACUGAGAAAACUUCAGAGACCUAAACUUUUUCCAGAGAAGAGAAGCUUUACUGGUGUUCCAGCCCUAAGAAACCUUUGUUCAAGAAAACGGCAGAUGCUCUGUUGAAUCCACUGGAGAUUGUUCUGAUACUAAGGACAAGUAUCAACCAUCUUUCCUGUGAAAAAUUCCCUCUCGUACUUUAGUUCUGUGGAUCCAAAAUUUAUAGCAUUCUUCUACCACCACAGGGGCUCAUAUGACAUUAACAGACAAGACACUUUUCAGAAAGACAGGCAACGUGUUGGACCUUCCGGAGCUUCUCAGAAGACAGAGGGUUUUCUUUUGAGGCUGUUGUACAGUGGCCUGAUUAUAGCUCACUGUAGCCUCGAAAUUCUGGGCUGAAAUGAUCCUCCUGCCUCAGCCUCCAAAGUAGCUGAGACUAGAGGUAUGUGUCACCACACCCAUCUAAAUUUUAUAUAUUUUUUCUAGAGACAAGGGUAUGUAGCCCAGGUAUUUGACCCUCCAAAUCUGAUGUUGAAAUUGGAUACCCAGUGUUGGAGGUGGGGCCUAAUGGAAGGUAUUUGGGUCAUGGGGCAGAUCCCUCAUGAAUAGAUUAAUGUUCUCCCUGGGUUGCAGGUGAGUGAGUUUUUGGUCUCUUAGUUCCUGUGAGAGCUAGGUUUUAUAGGAUUUUUUUUUUUUUUUUAGGCUGGUCUUGAACUCUUGGGCUGAAGAGAUUCUCCCACCUCAGCCUCCCAAGGUGUUGAGAUUACAAGCAUGAGCCACCUCACCUGGCCAAGAGCUAGUUGUUAAAAGAGCCUAGCAGUACCCACCUCUUUCUUGUUUCCUCUCUCACCAUGUGAUCUCCACACACAUUGGCUUGCCUUCCCUUUCUGACAUGAGCGGAAGCAGCCUGAGGCCCUCACCAGAUGUGGAUGCCAGUGCCAUGCUUCUUGUACAAUCUGCAGAAUCAUAAGCUAAAUACACCUCUUUUCUUUAUAAAUUACCCAGCCUUGGGUAUUCCUUUAUAGCAACACAAACGGAGAAAGACAUAUGCAAUUUGCCAUUUUAAUCAUUUUUAACUGUACAAUUUGGUGGUAUUAAUUAUAUUUACAAUGUUGUGCAACCGUUACCACCAUCUAUUACCAAAGCCCUUUCAUCACCCCAAAUAGAAACUGUGCUUAUUCAGCAAAAACUCCCAUUUUCCUCUCCUUCCAGCCCCUGGUAACCUCUGGUAACCUCUAAUCUACUUCCUGUCUCUAUGAAUUUGCCUAUUGUAAAUAUUUCACAUAAUGGUAUCAUACACUAUCCUUUUGUGUCUAGCUUAUUUCACUUAGCAUAAUGUUUUCAAGGUUCAUCCAUCUUAUAGCAUGUAUCAGUAUUCCAUUCUUCUUUUCUAUGGCUGAAUAAUAAUUGUAUGUAUAUACUGCAUCUUGUUUAUCCAUUUAUCUUUUUGUUUGUUUGUUUUUUAAAGACAGGGUUUUACCAUGUUGGCCAAGCUAGUCUCGAACUCCUGAACUCAGGUGAUCCGCCCACCUUGGCCUCACAAAGUACUGGGAUUACAGGCGUGAGCCAUCGUGCCUGGCCUAUCCGUUUAUCUUUUGAUAGACAUUUUGGUUGUUUCUACCUUUUGUCUAUUGUGAAUAAUGCUGCUAUGAACAUUAGUGUACAAGUCACUGAUUAAGUUGUUGUUUUCAAUUCUUUGGGGUAUUGUAUUAGGCCAUUCUUGCAUUGAUAUAAAGAAAUACCUGAGACUGGGUAAGUGCCAAAGAAAAAAGGGUUUAGUUGGCUCACAUUUCUGCAGUCUGUACAGGAAGCAUAGCAGCAUCUGCUUCCAGGGAGGCUUCAGGAAGCUUCCAAUCAUGAUGGAAGGCAAAGUGGGUGCAGGCAUGUCACAUGGCAAAAGCCAGAGCAAGAGAGGAAGUGGGGAGGUGCUGCACACUUUUAAACAAUCAAAUCUUGUGAGAACUCACAAUCUUGAUGACAGCUAGAGAUGGUGAAGCCACUCAUGAGAAACCACUCCCAUGAUCCAAUCACCUCCCACCAGGCCCCAACUCUAACACCGGAGAUUAAUUACAUUUCAACAUGAGAUUUGCAUAGGAACAAACAGUCAAACUAUAUCCGGUAUAUACUUAAGAGUAGAAUUACUGGGUGAUAAUUCUGUUUUACGUUUUGAGGAAUUGCCAAACUAUCUUCCUCAGCAGUUAAACCAUUUACAUUCCCACCAGAGGUAUACUAGGUUUCCAAUUUCUCCACAUGUUCAACAACACUAGUUAUUUUUUCUUCUAAUUAUAGCCAUUCUAGUAGGUACAAAGUGGUAUCUCAUUGUGGUUUUAGCAUCUUUUGAGUUGCUUAUUGACCAUUUACAUGUCUUUUUUUUAGAGAAGUGUCUAAGUCUUUUGUCCAUUAAAAAUUUGAGUUAUUUAUCUUUUAUUUGUUGAGUUGUAGGAUUCUUUAUGCAUUCAAUUCUUUUGGGUAUUGUAUUAGGCCAUUCUUGCAUUGCCAUAAAGAAAUGCCUGAGUAUAUUAGUUUUUUGUCAGAUGUAUGAUUUGCAAACAUUUUCUCCAAUUUUUUGUGUUAUCUUUUCACUCUCUUUAUAGUGUCACUUGAUACACAAUUUUGAUGAAGUCCAAUUUAUCAGUUGUUUCAUCACUUGUACUUUUGAUGUUAUAUUUAAGAAACCAUUGUCAAACCCAAGGUCAUGAAGAUUUUUCAGUAUGUUUUCCUCUAAGAGUUUUAUAGCAUUUAAUAUUUAAGUGUUUUAUAGCAUUAAAUUUUGGUCUUUGAUCCAUUUUGAGUUAAUGUUUGUACAUUGUGUAAAAGUAUAGGUCCAACUUCAUUCUUUUGCUUGUGGAUAUCUAGUUUCCCCAACACCAUUUGUUGAAGAGAUUGUCCUUUUCCCCAUUGAGUGAUCCUGGAACCCUUGCUGAAAAUUAAUUACCCAUAGAUGUGAGUGUUAGUUCUGGCCUCUCGAUUCUAUUCCAUUGGUCUAUAUUGUCUAUCUCUGUGCCAAGUCCAUGCUAUUUCAAUUAUUAUAGCUAUGUAGUACAUUUUAAUAUCAGAAAAUGUGAGUCCUACAACUUUGUUCCUCUUCAGAUUAUUUUGGCUAUUUUGGGUUCCUUGAAAUUUUAUAUGAAUUUUAGAAUAGGUUUUUCCGUUUCUGCCAAAAGCGCUGUUGGGAUCUUAUUAGCGUGAUUACAUUGACUCUACAUAUCAUUUUGAGUAGCGUUGUCGUUUUAACAAUAUUAAGUCUUCCAACUUAUGAACACAGGAUCUCUUUCCAUUUAUUUAAGUCUGCUUUAAUUUCUUUCCAGAAUGCUUUGUAGUUUUCAGUGUACAAGUCUUCUGCCUUCCUGGUUAAAUUGAUUUCUAAAUAUUUUAUUCUUUUGGGUACUACUGUAAAUAAAAAAUUCUUAAUUUCCUUUUCAGAUUUUUUACUGCUAGUGUGUAGAAACACGACUGAUUUUUGUGUGUUGAUUUUGUAUUCUGAAGCCUUGCUAAAUUUGUUUAUUAGCUUUAAGAGGCUAUUUUUGGUAUUCUUUAGGGCUUUCUACACUUAUAUCACUUGCAAAUAGAGAUAGUUUUACUUCUUCCUUUCUAAUUUGGAUUUAUUUUAUUUCUUUUUCUUGCCUGAUGGGUCUGGCUAGAACUGCCAAUACUGUGUUGAAUAGAAGUGGCAAACACAGGCAUCCAUGGCUUCUGAUUUUAGUGGAAAAGCUUGAAAUUUUUCCCCAUUGAGAAUGAUGUUAGUCGUGAGUUCUUAAUACAUGGUCUUUAUCAUGUUGAGACAGUUCCUUUCUAUUCCUGGUUUGUUGGACAGUUCUAUCAUAAAGGAGGAAUGGAUUUUCUCAAAUGUUCUUCUAUAUCAAUUGAGAUGAUCAUGAGUUUUUCACUCCUUCCUUCUAUUACUUGGUGUAUUACAUCGACUGAUUUUCAUACGUUAAACCACUCUUAAAUUUCUGGGAUAAAUCUCAGUUGGUCAUAGUGUAAAAUUCUUUUAAGGGCUGCUGAAUUUAAUUUCCUAGUAUUUUGUUGGGGAUUUUUGUAUCUAUAAUGCAUUCAUAGGGGACAUUUGGCUAUAGUUUUCUUGUAUUGUCUGUCUAGCUUUGGUAUCAGGGUAAUGUUGGCUUCAUAGAAUGACUCAGAAAGGGUUCUGUUUCUCAACUUUUUGGAGGAGUUCGAGAAGGAUUAGUGUUAAUUCGUUUCUAAACGUUUGGUAGAAUUCACCAGCGAAGUCAUCAGUUCCUGGGCUUUUCUUUGUUAGGAGAGUUUUGGUUGCUGAUUCAAUCAAAAUUGAAUAUCAUUACUUUUUAUAGAUCUAUUCAGAUUUAUUCUUUGUUCUUGAGUCAACUUUGUUGGUUUGUAUGUUUCUAGGAAUUUGUCUGUUUCAUCUAGGUUAUCCAAUUUUUUGACAUAUAGCUCUUAUACUAAUUCUCUUACAAUCCUUUUUAUUCCUAUAAAUCAGUAGUAGUGUCUUUCAUUUCUGAUUUUAGUAGUUGAGUAUUCUUUUUCCUUAAUCUAGUUAAAGCUUUGUCAACUUUGUUGAUCUCUUCAAAGAACUAAUUUUUUGUUUCAUUGAUUCUAUUGUUUUUCUAUUCUCUAUUUCAUUUAUUUUUGCUCUAAUCCUUAUUAUUUCCUUCCUCUUUAUGGCUUCAAACUCAAUUGAACAUAAAGUAUUAAGAAAUUUGACUUUUUUCUCAAAUGUCUAAAAUGUAACAAGAAAUAUGUCUAGAGUCAUCAAAAAGCAGCCUGUUUGUCAGAUUUACUGUUUAAUCCAUGUAAACAGCUUUCAUAUAAUUCAUGAUAGAAUAUUACUAUGUGCUUUGGAAGACACUGAAGGAAAGACAAAAGGUCAUUGGGCAGAACCACCCUAGAUUGACUGUUAAGGCCAUCUUCUAGUUUGCAGGACUUGUGGUAGACAGACAGAAUAAUAUCCUGGACCUCUUGGGUGUAUACAGGACAAACUGAAAUAAACUCUCAUUUUUAGAUCAUAAUGUCAUCAUGAAACAUAUCAAUUCGGUCUAUUUCUGAAGAAAACAAGCACAAUGAUAAAGUUUGAAUGUUUGUCUCCUCCAAAUCUCAUGCUGACAUUUGAUCCCCAAUGUUGGAGGUGGGGCGCACUGGGAGGUGUUUUCGUUACGGGGGCAGAUCCCUCAUGAAUGGCUUGGUGCUGUCUUCAUGGGAUUAAGUUCUCACUCCUACUUCCUGUGAGAUCUUAUUGUUAAAAAGAAUCUGAUACCUUCCUCCCCUCUCUUGCUCUCUUCCUCCCUGAUCAUGUGACACACGGGUUCCCCUUUGCCUUCCACCACGAUGGAGGCUUCCUGAGGCCCUCAACAGAAGCAGAUGCUGGCGCCAUGCUUCUCGUACAGCCUGCAGAAUUGUGUGAGCCAAAUAAACCUCUUUUCCUUAUAUAUUACCCAGCCUCAGGUAUUUGUUUAUAGCAAUAAAAACAGACUGAGACACAUGAUGAAGACCCUUUGAUAUCCUAUAAAUAUUGAUUUCUCUCCCUGAGAGAAGAGCAUGAAUCUAAGUGAUGCCAUUACUCUAAUGUGAAUUCCACAACUCUUCUCAAAGAUGUGGCCCAUAUGUUCCUAAUAAUGGCUUUCUAAGAAUCUGUUCUGAAGGGGUACCUUCUCUCUGAUUUUCAUUUGCAUUUCCUGCUUAGCUUACACACUUCACCUUGCCUAUCCACCUGUCCUGACCCCAAUAACCUCCAUCAUCAGACAUCUCAUCUUACCUACCUACUUUCUACUUUUCCCAGUCCUUCCCGUGCUUCAUAAACCAUGAUCAUGAGCUAGAGACACAAGGUCAUAGCUAAGGAGUUGGGAUCAGAAAAUCACCUUCUGUGAUUUUCCAUUAUUGUCAAUACAUAACUUCAACAAAAUCAAGAAAAUCAUGAAAGGACAUCCUAAGGGGUCAGGUGAGGUUGCAGUGGGGUUAGUCGGUCAAUAGUUUCUUUAUGCCAAUUAGGAUUUCUGCAGAAAACAAUGAAAUACUGGUUUAAACAGUAAAAAUAUUUUAAUUCCUUACAGAAGCCCAUGGAACAUACACUCCAGGUUUAAUUCAUCAGCUCAAUAGCAUCAUCAAUGACUUAGGUUCUUUCCACUUUCUGCUUGUCAUCUGUGUUGGCUUUAUUUUCAAGCUAGCUCCUCCCUGGUUGCAAGAUAAUUGCAGCAGGUUUAGUUAUCAUAUUCGGACAUGCUAACGCCCAGGGUAGUGAUCCCUUCCUUGCAUUUCUUUCUCAUUUUAAGAACAAAGUGUUUAAAAAAUUAUACUUAAAAUUAUUGGCAUCUCUGUCAAUUGAAAGAUGUCAAUCUCUUUCAUUUUUCCUAAUCACUAAUAACAUCUACUAAAAACAAAAUGUCUGUGUAAAUAAUUUAUUUGAAUAAAAUUAAAGUUGUUGAGUGAGCUCGGCUUUUGAGGAGUGGGAAAGGAGGGGUGCAUAGAUUAGUGGAAGAUGAGAAGCUAGUGGGGCUCAAGUCCAGCAGGAGCAGGAGUUUGGAGCCAGGACUUCCUAGCCUCUCAGGGUUUUUUUUUAACUUCCUUACCUGAAAUGAUUUGUGCUAUAUAACUUGUCCUGGCUAAACUUUCUUAAUCUCAACUGUUUCAUUUAAUCAAUAACAACUACUGCGCCACCUUCAUAAUAUCAAUUUUCAGCAUUUCAUUUACUGAAUAUCAUUUCCUUUCCUUCCAGACUAUUCUACUGUGUCAAAUUCAAUAUUCCUUUGACUCAAUAGGAUCUCCAAUCCAGUGACCCCAUUAUUUGUUUGUUUAUUAGAACAAGAAAAACAAACUUUCCCAGAAACUCCCCAGUAGACUGCUCCUCAUGUCUCAUUGGCUAGAACUGAGUUGCGUGCCCAUUCCUAAAACAAAACUGGCAAGAAAGAUAGUUACCAAGAUUGGUUCAGACCAAAUCAGGAUUUUUUCCUGAGGAGAGGAUAAAGUGAGCUUCCUGGGAGGCAAAUAUUUACACAUUCCAAAGAUUCCAAAGAAAAAAAGAGAAUAAAUACUGGGUCGUUAACUAAUAGUAAGUGCUACGGUAUUACAGGUAAAAUUUAUCCUUUUAGCCCUAGCAACAAGUGACACCUU